CCUACGGGAGGCUGCAGUGAGGAAUAUUGGUCAAUGGGCGAGAGCCUGAACCAGCCAAGUCGCGUGAAGGAUGACGGCCCUACGGGUUGUAAACUUCUUUUGUCAGGGAGUAAUCGAGUCCACGUGUGGGCUUAGCGAGAGUACCUGCAGAAAAAGCAUCGGCUAACUCCGUGCCAGCAGCCGCGGGAAUACGAAGGAUGAGAGCGUUAUCCGGAUUUAUUGGGUUUAAAGGGUGCGUAGCGGGAAUAUCACGUAGGCGGUAAAAAUUCGGGGCUCACCCCCGUCGUGCCGUUGAAACUGAUGUUCUUGAGUGGGCGAGAGGUAUGCGGAAUGCGUGGUGUAGCGGUGAAAUGCAUAGAUAUCACGCAGAACUCCGAUUGCGAAGGCAGCAUACCGACGCCCAACUGACGCUGAAGCACGAAAGCGUGGGUAUCGAACAGGAUUAGAUACCCCAGUAGUC
rnacentral:rRNA from 1 species